AGUGAACGCUGGCGGUAGGCCUAACACAUGCAAGUCGAACGGCAGCACAGUAAAAGCUUGUUCUUACGGGUGGCGAGUGGCGGACGGGUGAGGAAUACAUCGGAAUCUACUUUUUCGUGGGGGAUAACGUAGGGAAAAUUACGCUAAUACCGCAUACGACCUACGGGUGAAAGCAGGGGAUCUUCGGACCUUGCGCGAUUGAAUGAGCCGAUGUCGGAUUAGCUAGUUGGCGGGGUAAAGGCCCACCAAGGCGACGAUCCGUAGCUGGUCUGAGAGGAUGAUCAGCCACACUGGAACUGAGACACGGUCCAGACUCCUACGGGAGGCAGCAGUGGGGAAUAUUGGACAAUGGGCGCAAGCCUGAUCCAGCCAUACCGCGUGGGUGAAGAAGGCCUUCGGGUUGUAAAGCCCUUUUGUUGGGAAAGAAAAGCAGCAGGUUAAUACCCCGCUGUUCUGACGGUACCCAAAGAAUAAGCACCGGCUAACUUCGUG
rnacentral:rRNA from 1 species